AUUGAACGCUGGCGGCAUGCCUAACACAUGCAAGUCGAACGGCAGCACAAUAAAGAUUUCGGUCUUUAUGGGUGGCGAGUGGCGGACGGGUGAGUAACGCGUAGGAAUCUGUCCUGGAGAGUGGGAUAACCCGAGGAGACUCGGGCUAAUACUGCAUGACAUUGAGAGAUCAAAAGCAGGGGACCGAAAGGCCUUGCGCUCUGGGGUGAGCCUACGUCGGAUUAGCUAGUUGGUGGGGUAAAGGCCUACCAAGGCGACGAUCCGUAGCUGGUCUGAGAGGAUGACCAGCCACACUGGGACUGAGACACGGCCCAGACUCCUACGGGAGGCAGCAGUGGGGAAUCUUGGACAAUGGGGGAAACCCUGAUCCAGCGAUGCCGCGUGUGUGAAGAAGGCCUUCGGGUUGUAAAGCACUUUAGGUGGGGAAGAAAGGUAGCGAGUGAAUAACUUUCUGCUGUGACGGUACCCACAGAGUAAGCACCGGCUAACUCUGUGCCAGCAGCCGCCGUAA
rnacentral:rRNA from 1 species